UUCCCGCCCACCCUCUUUCCCCCUCCCCUGCACGCCCCUCCCCCGUCGGUGCAGGUCUCCGCGGCGGAGAGCAGAGCUUGCUGCUGGAGGACGCCGCGGCAGCUGUUCCCAGCGCCGCCUGGCCUCGGCCGCGCCUGGAGUCCCCGCGGGAGCGAGCGUGGAGGUGCCGGGAGCUCCCUCUGCUUUCCACCUUCUCUGGCCGCCCCGCCUCCGCCAGGGACCGGAGGGGUGGGGUGCCAGCUACCAACUAAAAAUAACCAAGAGGGAGGGCUGGGUGUCUGCCUCCCUUCCCACAACCGGACCUGGAGAGGGACUCGGCCAGCCCCCCUGCACGUCCCGGCGCAGGGCUGCCUGCGGAGGGGAGGGCAAAACGGGCAGCACCUGGGUGAUGCGCACGGAGCCGGGUGCACAAGUCCCCGGAGAGCCGGCGCUGCUGCAACGAGGCAGGAGGUCGCGCGGGUAGUGGCCGAGCCGCACCUGCUGUCCCUCCUACUGCAGAAAUGGGGGCAAGAGGGCAGCCCUCUGACCCGGCACCAGGGAGGGUUCAGUCACCUGAUAUUUUUGUAAGAAAGACGACCCUUAUAAGCCUUUUUUUCUCUGGGCAAGCUACCUGUGUCCCAGUCUGUUAUAAUGCAUUCGACCCGUAAGUAUUGUGCACCGAGGUAGUUGCUGAGAACCCAGUGAUGAAAAAAGAAGGAAAAAGAGAGAACAACUCGAAGUCCUAGCCUUUAAAAUAAUUAUAUUCUAGAGGGAAUUAGAGGGGGGCGGGCAGACAAUCAACAUGUAGAAGAAAAGAAGGCCCGGUAAUUGUGAAGAGUGAUAUACAGGGUCUGGCACAAAUAACGCCCCUGUUUUAUGAGCUGCUAAUCUAUACCAAAUCUUUUAUUAUAAAAUCAUAAGCAUGUAAUUCUGUAACACAGCAACAUCACACUCAAGCACAUCAUAUAACAUUUUCGGUGAAAUGUUCAAAUUACUGUCCAUCUCGUGCAGGACAUUCAUGUACCCCACCAACCACACUCAAUGGUGUUACUUCUGCUGGACCCCAUAUAUUAAGUAGAAGAAGAGAAGAUGAACUAUGACCUGGGAAAAGAGAGUGUUGGCUAAGUCCAUCACCUCUCCACCCUCCACCUGGGAGACGGACUGACCUAGCCCAACUGAUGAUCAAGGAAGGUUUUUCUGACAAGACAGUGUGAUGAGAUGACAUGAAUGGAAGAGAAGUUAACCAUGCAACAAUCUGGGGACAUAUUUCCAGCCUGUACGAUAGACUAUUAUCCCCAUGAGGAAACCAGGAAGCAGAGAGGGGUGUCACGCAGCUGGUGAACAGGGAAGCCCGGAUUCAAGCCCAGACAGCCCGGCGCCAGAUCUGCUCUUCACCGCACACCAAGCUGCCUUGCCUGUCCCGGUCCAGACUCUGCCACUUACAAAUUGUGCCUCAGUUUCCUCCUCUCAGAUGAGGUUGAAAUGGCAACAUUUCAGCACUAUCACUGUGAGGAGGAAACAGUAUUUCUGAAUGCGAAAAGACAGAAGGCAGGCCUGGCACAUAGUUAGCACCCAGUGCAGGCCAGGUGCCCAGCCCUUCUGUGCUGCCUUCCAGAAAAGAGGAGACGGAGGAGAAGUUACCAAGAAGGGUAAAGAAAGCAGAUGAAGGAAAAGGGCUAAUAAAAUGCAGUCAGAAGAUGACAUUGUCUUCAAGAAGAAACAUGGCAGAGUAAAUAAUCCACACAAUGACUCCAGCACACCAGCACAGGGGCUGCACUAACGCAGCUCCCACUGCAUGCAGUAGCUGCAAGAGGGAAGCCUGGUGAUCUAAAUGAUGUGCCGGAAUCCAUCUGAAAACCAAGCGUUAGGAUUAAACCUACGAUAUCUCUGAAAUAGCUGCUAUUGAAAUUAACAUUCAACUAAAACUUUUUUUCUCUCAGUGAAAAUACUCUUUUAAGGUUUAUAAUUGCAAAGGAACAUCUGCUUUUUCUGAACUCGAACAAAUUCAAUAACAAAUUCAUAUAGGUUACCAAAGACUGGAAGAUUUACAACCAUAAGAAAAUUCAACCCCGGUGCCAUCAUCCAUAUAUUUUACAUGCCAUUGUUAAGCACCUACUAUGCAGAAGAGAUUGUACUAGCAUCGGAAGAAUCCACAAAAGUACACAGACUUUACCCUUUAGGAGAUAAUAAUUUUGUUCCUGAAAUGAUAUUUUCAUUUCUGCAUAAUGUUGUUUCCAGUAUAAUGUAAUAUAUAUCCACUGGAGAAAAUUGGAAAGAUAUAAUGAAGAAAACAAAUCCAGAAGAAACCCUACAAUUCAAAAAUCAUCACUACUUGGGGAAUAUGAAGAAACAUUUUGAUUGGCAAACAAUAACCCUAAGACAAGGUACUCUACAAUAAAUGCCAAAUGGGAGACACGGUGUAUUUAAAGAGCAUGGAUUUUUUAUAAUAGAUUUAUGGAGAUAUUACUUACAUACUACACAACCCACUCAUUUAGAGUACAAUUCAGUGUUUUUUAGCAUAUUCUCAGAGCUGUGCAACCACCACCACAAUUAAUCUGGUAUAUUUUCAUCUACCCAAAAAGCAAUCCCAUACAUUUAGUAGUCAUCCCCCAAGCGCCCCUUGGCCCCGAGUCCUGGCAACCCCUAUUCUGCUUUCUGCCUCCUAAAUUUGCCUACGCUGGGCAUUUC